rnacentral:rRNA from 1 species
CCUAACCAGAAAGCCACGGCUAACUACGUGCCAGCAGCCGCGGUAAUACGUAGGUGGCAAGCGUUGUCCGGAAUUAUUGGGCGUAAAGCGCGCGCAGGUGGUUCCUUAAGUCUGAUGUGAAAGCCCACGGCUCAACCGUGGAGGGUCAUUGGAAACUGGGGAACUUGAGUGCAGAAGAGGAAAGUGGAAUUCCAAGUGUAGCGGUGAAAUGCGUAGAGAUUUGGAGGAACACCAGUGGCGAAGGCGACUUUCUGGUCUGUAACUGACACUGAGGCGCGAAAGCGUGGGGAGCAAACAGGAUUAGAUACCCUGGUAGUCCACGCCGUAAACGAUGAGUGCUAAGUGUUAGAGAGUUUCCGCCCUUUAGUGCUGCAG